rnacentral:lncRNA from 1 species
GAGAAAAUAAUCAAAAGAAUCUUUAGUUGAAGAGAGGUAUUGCCAAGGUCUUCUCAAAUUCCCACUCUGCUUUACGAAAUCGUUAUUCGAUUUAUGUCAUCCUUUCAACAUUCUCGAUAGUCGAUUGACGUUCGUUCGUAGCAGCCUCGUAAAAUUCAUAGUAGACGUUAUCGUUCGUAAUAACUCUGGCCCCUGUGGUUUACAUUCUUCUACUUUAUCCCAGUUG